AAUCCUUAUCUUAACAUGUUCCAAAUAGCUGACGUUACUCAUCAUUUUUUUCAUACAAUACACUUUUAAGUAAACGCCUUUUGUUAAUAACAAUUGUGGAAAAUAAGCAAACGAAAACAUUUAGGAUAGGUAAGUGUCGCUGCCGAAUUGAAACCACUAAUUGGUGCAGUUGUGCAACCGAUUCAAAAAUAGUUAAUUGUGUGAUCGUUAUCUGAGUGCUUUUAUUUUACAACUACAAUGAACUAAAAUUAGUGCUGCAACUAUUCAUAAAAUCUCUUUGUUGUAAGCCAUAGUAUUUAUUUGUCAAUCUUACAAAGUGCCAACGUCAACAGAUAAGGGCAGAACAAAUCUCUACGAUUCAUUGUCAGUGAAAAGAAAAAUAUUAUGACCAUUCACUGGAUGAACAAUAUUAAUAAAUAAUCAAUAUUAAGCAAUUAGUGUGAAAGUUGAGUGGCUUCUGACCGACAGUAUUGCGAUGCUACAAAAAACUACUAUUUUUAUUACUAUUCAGUUAUCUCAAAAGAUUCAAUGUCUCCGAUUAUUUUAAAGUGGCAAAUUUCAGGUUGUAUCAUCAAACAAAGGAAUAUGUCUAUAAUAGUAUAGAAUUUUCUAAUCCAUGAUGUGCUAGUAUGGGAUCUGCCCACAAAAUUUGUAUCAUAAACCAACUAAGUAGCAUAACGACGUGUGGUCAGGCGCACUGCACCCAUUGUAUCGGGUGUAAUGUUAACAUCAUCAAAAAUGUCCAUGUGGCGCUUCUCUAGUCUCUACAACAGUCGGACAUUUAUUCAAUAACGGUUUAGAGAGAGUGUGUACAUUAAAAAUUGGCGUUUUCUAGCCACUGGACGAUUUUAUGAAGAUUUAAAGUUCUCAUCGGUGAUUUCACCACAGUUAUUGGGAAAAAUCGUCCCAGAAACCUGCGCAACCAUUUACAAAGCAUUGCACGGCCAUUGCAAGAUGUCUUCGAAUGAAAAUUAAUGGAAUACAAUUGGAGCUGAUUUUGAAAAGCAAUGGAAUUUUCCUAAUUGCCUCGGCGCGGUUGAUGGCAAGCAUAUUAAAAUAAUGCCGCCGCCUGAAUGUGGUUCCUAUUUCUACAAUUAUAAACACUUCCACAGUCAGGUACUGAUGGCUGUUGCUAAUGCCAGUUAUGAGUUGAUUUAUUUUCACUUUGGAACAAACGGCCGAGUGUCAGACGGUGGGGCAAUAAGAAACACAGAUUUUUAUCAAAAAUUUAUGAACGGUACUUUGGGGUUGCCACAACCAGAUUCAGUGAAUUGAAUAACGCUUCCUUAUGUGUUUGGUGGAGAUGAAGCUUUUGCUCUAAGGAAUGAUAUUUUGAAACCAUUUAAUAAGUCACAGCUCAAUGAAAGUAGAAGAAUUUUUAAUUACCGUUUAUCGCGAGCGAGACGGACAAUUGAAAAUGUAUUCGGAAUUUAAGUUGCGCGGUUUCGAAUACUGAAAACGGAACUCAAUUUGGACUUGGAUACCUAAUAUUGCUCCAGUGGUGAUGCUUGUUGUGCACUACACAACUUUUUACGCCGUGAAAAUCCAGACACUUACUCACCGCAACAUAGAUUCGAUCGAGAAAAUUAUGAACUUGAAGAUAUUGAAGAAGGGCUACAAAGAAACUUGCUUGGUCUGGAGAGAAGAAGAGGAUCCACUUUUCAGUCGGCAACAGAAAAUCGGAAUUUAUUUGUAGACUAUUUUAAUGGAAUCGGUGCAGUUCCAUGGCAGAACAAUUAUGUAUAGCGCAGAAAUAUUUUAGGUAGUUUAAUUAUGGCAUUUGCAUAGAGAUUGUGGCAGCGGGUGGAGAAAUCUUUGCCUGGCAAGUGGCAAUGGUAACGAAUAGGGUCUAUUAAUGGUUACGUCAUAAUCGACCGCGAAAUUCGAAUUGCAGGACUUGGCUGUUUUACUGUCGAAAAUAUUGACCCCUAUCGCCCUAUCAAUUAAGGAUCACUUUUAAUUAGGUAUUCUUUAUGGGCUUUACUUAUAUAACAAAAGAUAAGGACGCUCAAACCGGAAUCCACCUGUAACCACCCACCAUCACAAUCACCAAUUCAACACCGACCGUGCACUUCACCCCUAUGACGACGACUCACAACGGACACGAGCUGGUAACGAAGAGCGCAACCCAUCCUGCCGUAGGAACGUUAAGCUACUAGUUUUGACUAUUGUGCUUUCACGGCCUUUCUUGAACCCGAAACGGUACGGCUCCGCAGGCACCCCUAGUGGAAUAAUCGAACUGAUUUUCAAAUUGAUUUUUUUCAUAUUAACUAUGGGGAUCUCGUAAACUGUAAGAGAUACAAAGUCGCGUUAUGCAGAAUUUUAGGAUAAUUAAUUUUCCAUUGGUAGUUUCUUUAUAGCUAUGUAGCGAAGUUAUGGCCAAAAAACCGAAAAAUGUCGUUUUCGAAAAUGUGCUAGCUUUAUUUUCAAACAUAUAAAAAAUAAUUUUAACAAACCCUUUUCUCGGCUUUCUGGGGGUACUAUAAUAACAUUUUUAUGACUUUCUUAUUUUUUUUUGGACGCCAUAUUGGAUUUUGCGUCACUUGAUACGAGAAAAAAAUUACAAAACCAGUGAUAGCAAACACUAAUUGCCGAUCGUGAUUGAAACCAAAAUAUGUCAUUCGUUUAUUGUCUCGCAUAGUCACCAUCGACCCGGCCUUGGAGUUAUUGCCAUAAGAAUUAAGAAAUCCAUUGUAAACUUCAAGGCAAAAAUGCAAGAUUGAUUCCCAAAUGAAAUACUAACGGUCGAUAUUAUAAAGCAUACUGUCAGACUAACACUGUUGUUAAGGCAGGUGACUGGAUGUUUUUGCAAAGAAUAACAUCAUUAUUUGCAAAAACAUCCAAUCACAUACCUUGACAAUACUGUUAGCCUGAGUAGCCGUAAGUGUUUAGUAUCGCUGAUUUUGUAAUUUUGUUCUCUAUCAAAUAACGUAAAAAUCCAAUAGGGUGUCCAUAAGAAAUAGAUAUAGUUACUCGAAACUCACAAGUGAUAAAAAUUGUUAACGCCCUCAGAAAGCCGAGAAAAAAUUACCAAGGGUUUAUUAUAAAAUUAUGUUUUGAUAUCUUUGAAAAUAAAUUAACGCUAGCACAUUUUCGAAAAUGACAUUUUUCAGUUUUUUGACCAUAACUUCGCCACCUGUGGAGCUACAAGAAACUUUGAAUGGGAAAAUUAAUCAGCAUAAAGUUCUGCAUAACUUUGCCCAUUCAAGCGACUUUCCAUCUCUUGCAGUUUCCCCAUAGUGACAAUGAAAAAAAUUCACCCUGUAUAUAUGUACGAGUAUGUGUAAAUAAUUAUCUUUAGGACCAUAUACGGUACUGUAAAUGGACUGCACGAUUAAUCUACGAGUUACCCACCUACAAUUCUGAAACAGUGGCAUCUUAUGUCUAAAGAAUAAAAGUAGUGGUUGGCUUAAAUUAAUCCAAAAUCGUCCAAUAAAGAAGUCAUUAUUCGGA